rnacentral:lncRNA from 1 species
GGACCCCUCCCUGCUGCCAUUUUCUCCAGCCCCAGGCUCUGUGUCUAGGUCCAGGCUGAUAUGACCCCUUUAUGUCUGUAGAGACUUUCAUAGGCUAAGAACAAUUCAAGUCCAAAGUCCCUCGAAUCUGGGGCGCCUGACUUCUCUACGUAUUUGAAGAGGUCCCCCCUGGGAUGUUUUCUUGCUUCUCUGAUGAAAAACUCCAAAGCAAAAGGCUUGGAAAGGUUCUGCAGCCCUGUCAGUGUCAAGACACAGGAGCGGCGUUGAUGAGAUCUGAAAAGAGGCCAACGGAGCUCCCUCAGACAGCAGAGACGGACAUCAUCGCCGGCAUUUAACAGUGACGGUUACUCUGCAAGGAUGAGGUGAGAGCUGCAGAACUGGCAAGAGGAGGAAAAUAAGAUACAUUACUUGGUGACCGUGCUUUUUGGUUUCAAAUCCCAAAUGGUAUCUGCAGACUCGGUUCCUGGAGGGGGUCACCAGCUUUGGCUAUGAAUUAUUUGUGACGAAAUCCCCAAAUUAAAUCCACCUUCAGCCACACAAACCCUUGCGACCCCUCAGGCUUUCGAGAGGGUCCAGGGAAGUGUCUGAGCUGAGCCUGCAGAUGACCAUGCAACAGGGCAAACGCUGAUGGCUUUGUUAAAGACCUGGCUGGCACACCACUUCAGUGUUUCUGUUAGCCACUCCCCCACAGACUGUCACCGGCUUUGCCCUGUACAAAGGAGUUGACCCGAAUCAAGGAAUUUCAACUUUAAAUACCAGGGCAGCCACGGCAUUCGGAUGAGUGGGAACCUUCCCAAAUCAACAUGAAAACCUCAGCCCACACUGAUGUCUCACCGGCUGGCCCCCAACAGGAGGCACAUGCAGUGAACUAACUGGAAGCAGCCGGUUUCCCUCCUAACCUGGCAUAAAUCAGUGGAUUCUAUUUCCAUGGGAUGGGGGUGCACCCCAGCGGCUGGUGAACCUUUGCGUCCUCAACGUGCUGUUGAGGGUCAGUUUGCCUUCCUGGCAGAAGAAUAUCGGGACCCGCUUGCAGAUGACAGCCAAGGCAGCCCCACCAGAGGGAGAGGGCCUGCAUAGAGAAGCCACACUCGGAGCAAGGACUGCAACUGGAAGUUCAAUGGGGCUGUAGGCAUAGACCCCUCCACCAGAUAGCCAUGAUGUCUGGAACAAGCUGUUUUGCCUCUCUAGGUUCUUUAACCAUGAUGGAACAGGCAGAUUAUAUUUGGCAGAGUGGCUCAGGGAUGGAGUGAAGAUCUUGAAGAAUAGCUAUAAGCAUAGGCUGUACAUACAACUGGGAGGGGUUGUUAGAAUCACAGCCCCACUCUCACAGUGUGCUUUCUCACUGGUGGGAAAUGAUAACAUAUCAUGUUAAGUCUGAGUGUCGAAAAGAUUUGCUUAAAGCCGAUAAGCGGCAUGAACAACCAUCUACCGAGGAUGUGACAAGCACUCAGGGAAGUGUAGAACUGUGUGUGCACAGUAUGAACAAAUGUAAAAGUUGCUUUUAUUUCCUAGGAUGAAGUGAUGAGAUGAGAGCCAUACCCUAGCUGUGAGAAUACAUGGCUUUGGCUGAGCUCAGAGCAUUUCCUUCUCUGAUCUAACUACCCCUAGGCCUACACCCAGAAGCUUCUAGCUUCCAUACAAUCUAAUCUUGUAUUUACUAGGCGUAAUUAUCUUCUCAGAGGCUUGCCACUGAAUAACCUCACCCUUUCUAGCUCUCCCUGAACUCUGGCUGGCUGGUUCAACUCAAUAGUUCUCUCUCAAUUUCCUCUCUCUAAGCUGACUGAUUCAAACUAUCUUCUCUUGGCUUCUGACUGAAUUGCUCUGCUUGGCCUCAGACUAACUCUGAGAACCCAUUCCGAUCUUCUGGUUCCUUCUCAUUUUCUGGUUCAUUCUGUCUUCCCCUGUGUCUAGCCUGUCUGGGUAAAACUGUCCACACAUACACACAUGCACAUAUGUACCGUACCUGUGUCUAGCCUGAGGCUAUUAGGUAGCCUCUCUUUUCUGCUGUACUUGAGAAAGUUGGGUAUAGUCUGUCCUGACUCAUUCUAUCAAGUCUUUUCUCUGAUUUGUCAUUUUGUCCGCCCCUGAAUUAGAUGUCAUUUUCAAACAUGGUUGCUUCCUUCUCCUAACUAACCAUACUGUUUGGGAUUAAAAGUGUGAACUAAGGGCGUGUCUGUGUUCUAACCAGAACGAUUAAAGGUAUGUCAUUGUACCAGGUCUAGGUUUUUGGAUGUGAUUCCUUGCCAGAACAGCCAUGUUGCUGGAUUAAAAUUCUUCUACACACAA